UGAGGCCGCCGUCGGCCGCUGUUGUUUCUCAGUGAGACGAGAGGGGCUUGCCUGUUAGGCUCAGGAACCGGAAGACGAGGGCGCUGGCGUGUAUGUUCGCUUCCUGACUUUUUUAGACCCGCCCGCCUUGUUCUGAAGGGGCGGCCGUUCGGUCUCUGCGUAGUUCCCCAGCCUUUCUUCCUGCCCUGGAUGACGUUUGGGUGGGCGCCCUCGGAACACGAUUAAGGACCUUUAAAAAAACCUUCCCUUUAUCCUUAGGGCAGAUGCUUGCUAAGCCUGUGCGCCAAAGUGAGCUGACCUUAGAAAACUCGUAUAGAGUGGUCUGUUUGUGGGUGCCUCACUUCCGGACUGCGUGGUAGUAAAUGGAAGGCGCAGGGACUUGAAGUCAGUUCUAGCAGGUGUGUUUCCCAUAGGUAGACUGUUCAGAGCGAGCCCAUUUUCCCAGCCUGAAAAAUUGUGAAUCCCAUGUUAACGCUCCUGCAGUGCUAGGUACUCUCCCCUGUAGACUUCUAUGGUAUCUUUUUAAAUUCUUACGGUGUCAACUGCCCUGUUUUGAACUGACCUGGAAGAUGGAACUUGAUCUCAGUUUUGGAAUUCACAGAGUCUGUGUCUUGGCUAGAACAGUGUUCAAUCUGUGUGUGAUGUAUGACUUAUAAAAUAUUGAACUGAAUAGGAGAGGUGAGAGCGGCUUAGGGCCCCUGCUGCUUCUACAGUGCACUUGAGCAAGGAACAGCAAAGGCAAUCUUGGAUUAGAGGCUCCACGUGGUUCCUCUGGUGCCAUAAUCAGUUUGAUUAUAAUCCUCAGCUGUAGCAAGAGGCCUUACUAAUGUAGAUAGAAACUAAAGCUCCUCCCCCCGCCUUGUUUUUUAAAAGAAUGAAAGCCACAUUUUUACGUAUUUGAAAGCAGAGAAAUAGAGAUAACCUGCCGGGUCACUCCACAAAUGGUCACAAAAGCCAAGGCAGGGCCAGGCUGAAGCUGGGAGCUGGAAACAGCCUGGGUCUCCCAUAUGAGUGGCAAGGACCCAAGUACUUGGGCCGUUGUUACCUUCCACUGCCGGGGGUUAGCAGGAAGUGAAGCCAGACUCUGAUAUGCUGGUUUCCCAAGCAGCGUCUUAACCACUGUGCCAAAUGCUGGUCCCACUACUGAAGCUUUUCAUCUGCUAUGUCUAAUUAGCAAAGUAACACAGGUCUGCGUAUGAUCCUUAUCUGAUGAUCACUGCUGCUUAUGGAACAUUUGGUAAAUUAGGCAAUCUGCUUUGGGCUUUACAAGUAAUAUCACAGUCUUAGAAUAAUCCUAUAAGUUGGUUAGUAAUGUCCAAUGGGGAAACGUAAUUAGGCAAUUAAAUAACUUCACUGGUAGUAGGGCCAAAGUUUGAAGUCCAUUUUGACUUAAACCUAACUACCUUGCCAUUAAGUCUAUCAUUACCCUACAAAUCAGAAUAGUAUGUUUUUUCUUCCUUUCUGAAGGGAGAGGCUGGGGUGUCUCACUAGGAAUAGACUAGUGAGAGCUAUUGGCACCUCAUUACAACCCGCUGAAAUUAUUCUCUCUUGCUAUAUACAGCCCCCCCUCAACUUUGUGUUCUUUUGGUACCUGGGCUUAAUUAUACUCUUCUAAUGUGGCUGUUCAAAUAAUUUAUUACUUGUAUUUGAUUUAUUUUAUGCUUUAUUUUUUACUUUUUUCUUAAAAGUUUACAGUAUCUGAUGUGUAUGACACGGAGUUUUGAUGUACAUGUGCCUAGUGGAUGCUUACUACAGUUAAGCAGUUAACAAAUCCAUACCCUCACAUGGUUACUCUUUGUACACCUGAAACAUCUUAGCAGAUUUCUAGUAUGCAAUACAGUUUACUGACUACAGUGACCAUUAGAUCUCUAAAAUAACAUUGUAUUAUAUUAGAUUCAUUUUGCAUUCAUUUUACACAGCUGCAACUUUAUACCCUCUGACCAACGUGUUCUCAUUUCCCCUAUGUUCCUGGUAAAACUGUUGUCUGUGCUUCUGUGUAUUUGACUUUUUUUUGGAGCCCACAUUUAAGAGAGUGCUUAAAUACUUAAGCAGUACUUUUUCUUCUGUCUGGCUGAUUUCACUUAGCAUAAUAUCCUCCAGGUCUCAUCCAUGUUGUUACAGAUGUCAAGAUCUACUUUCUAAAAAAGUGUUAAAGGCAGAACAAUAUUCCAUUCCAUUUAUAUUAUAUAAUAAUGUAUAUCACAAUUUUUAAUCCAUUCAUCCACUGACACUUAAGUUGUUUGUGUAGAUUGUUUAUUGUGAAUAAUGCUGUAAUGAACAUGAGAGUGCAGUUAUCUCUCUAAAACACUGAUUUUAUUUUCUUUGGAUAUGUAUUCAGUAGUGGAAUUGCUGAAUUAUAUGAUACUCUAAUUUUUUUGAGGAACCUUUAUAAUGUCUGUACCAAUUUAUACUCCCACCAACAGUGUAUAAGGAAAAUCUAAAAUGGUUGCUAGAGGAACGAAUGAGGAAUUGUCAAUGAAAACGUGUAAAUAAUUCAGAAAUGAAAAACCGUUUUGAAAAAAGAUUCAGGAUCACUGAAUUGAAGAGGUAGGGAAAAGCAAUUAAGAAUCGGGUGGCAAUUAGUCAUCUGUGGAUAGAUAGGGCUUCCCUUCCUCAAUUAGGGUAAUGGGCAGCAGCUCCCGCUAAAAUCUGAAAUAAAUGAGGAAGCUAGAGAUAAACCUGAGCUGGCUUGAUCACGGGCAAGGAGUGGCAGUGAAAGUGGGAAGUAAAAAACACUGUGCCUGAGCAGCUAGUAGAAGGAUGGAGCGGUUUGUCCGAGUUCCCUGUGGCUUGUACCAGGGCUAUGGGAACACACUACCUUUGGACCAACCUGGACUCUCAGGGCACAAACAGCCUGACUGGAGGCAAAACAUUGAUCCCCCCACUUUCCUGUCCAGGCCUGGGCUGCUGGUGCCUGCAAAUGCCUCUGACUACUGCAUGGACCCUUACAAACGAACACAGCUUAAAGCCAUUCUUGCCCAGAUGAAUCCCAGUCUGAGGCUGCAGCUGUGCAAGGCCAACACCAAGGAGGUGGGUGUGCAGGUCAGUCUGCGAGUGGAUAAGUCCGUGCAGUGCUCGCUGGGGCCUCGCACCCUGCGCAGCCGCUCCCCUUGGGACAGUGCUGGGCACAGAGUGCCCCUGGCAGGCUGGGGAGUCUAUUUGCCAGUGAUCAGCAGCAGAGGUUUGGUUCGGCUGCAGAAGGGUGGGGACAGUGGGGAGAGUGAGGUGCUGGGCAGCCCUGCAGAGACUGGUCAACAGCCACCACCAGUGCCGAAGUUAGAAGAUGGCAGGCAGAAGGAAGUUGGACAGCCUGAGGAGCUGGGGGACUCCGAGGCCACACAUCCUCAAGAAGGGAAGAACAAGCUGGUGCAGAGAGAUGCAGUCCCCGAUCUACUCCAGAAGCCAAACUUCCAGUUUUUGGAACCAAAAUAUGGCUAUUUUCACUGUAAAGAUUGUAAAACCAGAUGGGAGAGUGCUUAUGUGUGGUGCAUUUCUGGAACUAAUAAGGUUUAUUUCAAACAACUCUGUUGCAAAUGCCAAAAGAGUUUUAACCCUUACCGAGUAGAAGCAAUCCAAUGUCAGACAUGUUCAAAGUCUCGUUGUUCCUGUCCUCAAAAGAAAAGACACAUUGAUCUAAGGAGGCCUCAUCGACAGGAACUGUGUGGUCGCUGCAAAGACAAGAAAUUCUCCUGUGGCAGUAUUUACAGCUUUAAAUGCAUCAUGUGACAGACAGUAAUUCUUGUAUAGGAUGCAAACCCUUUCUGUCACAGGCCACUAGCCUUUCUUCAUUUUUUGGAUGUCUACAACUUCAUGGUGAGAAGAGAAAUUGGAAAAAAGUUAUCCAGCACCCAGCAAGGAGUUAUAUUCUUUUCCACAAAAAAUUCCACAGCAUUCUAAAAUCAGGCAACUGGCAGAGACCAGACCAGGUUGGGUAUGACAAAUGAGAAGACUUUAUGUGCCAAUCCCAUUACCAUCUCUGACAGACUGAUCUCUGUAAUGGUUCAAGAAUUUAUUUUGCUGGAUUUACUCAGGUGCUCAGAAUAACUGACAACAUCAAAUUAUUCUGGAAGACAAAGAACCUACCUAUAAAGAAGAGUUGGAGAGAUUCACUUGAAGAAAUAGAUGGUAAAGAGCAGGAGUAAAUGCCAAGAGAAACCUUAGGGACAGGGAGAAACAGCUAUCAGUAGUGAUUGAGAGGAGGAGAGAGACCUACCAUGACUGGAAGGAAAUGAUCAAGAAAUGGAAAAAGAAACGUACAACAUUAUUAAGCUGCAGUUUCAGCACUGCUAAUGUGAAAAUACAAAAUACUCCAAGAAUCGCAAGCUUUUUGAAUAUCAAAAUGAUACCACAAUUGAUUUAAUGUGAGAAGUCACAUUCAAAAUGCAGGUGCGCUAAAAAGAUUGUAUAAAAUUACCUUCAAGUUAUAUGUAUGGUACGUAUGAAACAUAAAUGAAUAUCUGUUUAGACUUGGGUCCCAUCCCUAAGAUAUGUCAUUAUGUAUAUGCAAAUAUUCCAAAAUGCAAGAUACUUCUGGUCCCAAGCAUUUUGGACAAAGGAGAGACUCAGCCUGUGUGUGUUUUAAAAAAUGUGUCUGCUGUGACAAAUCACCACCAAAUAAUUAAAGACUAAUUCUGGAACUUGGAUUUUAAAAUAGCUAUUGGAGUGAAAAAGUUAACAAAAUGAAAAACAAUGAUAGAGGAGGCAAGAGGUCUGGAAGGAAAGGAAAAUGCAAUAUGUAAAGAUGUAAAGAAAGGGGAAAGAUAAAAAUGAGCCCCAUGCAGAGGAGAAACUGAAGGGCAGGAAAAAUACUGGGAGAGAGGAACAUUUAGGAAACAUAUUCCCUUGUAGCAAAUGAAUAGAUUUUAUGGAUGAAGAUCUUGUCACAAUUCUAGGGGUCUCCUACAUUGAACCUGGCACAGAACCACAAGUUUGCUGAACAAUAUAAAUAUCUAGGGAGGAAGAACACUGCGUCAGUCAUUGGUGUCUGCUACUGUUGAUUUGGUGGCAGCCUUGGUGAAAGCCUAUGGCAAAUAGGGAGGAGACUAGGGAGGCAGAGAAGGCUGAUCUUGGGAGAAUACAGUCUGGCAAGACCAUCUUGCUAAAGGAUGCAACAGCUCUGCUAGAGGCAAAGGUGUUGAAAUGGUUUCCUUAGUGGUGGCUGAGGGGCUGACACCAGUGUUGUAGUUCAGCCUCAGUUGAAAACCAUGAUGAUCAGAUGUCACCCAGCUGUGCUCAGCAUGGCCAAAGAAUUUCCCUAAUAGGGGAGUCACCAUCCAUCCUGCCCCUCCCCCAAGUAUCAGGUUUAUGUGUUAUGUUACAUCCAAAAUUAAAAGUCAAAACAGUGUUUUUGAUGAUACCAGACUUUUUUUGCCUGAGAAAAUGUCGAGAGUCACUACCUACUCCAAAUGGACAAUGUAUGUGUCAGUUAUCAAACUUAAAGGAGCCACUGAGGAUUUAUAAGGAGAUGGGAAAAUAUCAAACAAUGUAGAAAUGUUUACGGGUAGAACAUUCUGCAAAUGUUGGAAAUGAUAUUCUUUGAAAUACAUUUUCCAUAUUGGAACCCUGCCAAAUAAGAACUGUUGUUGAAGGAACUUGGGUGCACUAUGAUCAAAUAUGUUCCCCCAAAUGUAGCUAUUUAUAGUAUGUCUGAUAGGACACAGAGUAAUCAAGGCAAGUUUGCCCAGCAUGAUCCUAGUUUACAGCAGUUGCCUAUUGUUAGCAACCCCUUACACUUGCAAAAGGUUUGAAUGAAAAUUUAUAUAGUCACAGAAAUAACUUCUAAUUCCUGGAAAACAAAAAGAUUCAACUGGAAGGGUAAAUGUUAUAUUGUUCAAUGUAGAUCAUUGAUUUCACUUCUAAUAAAAUAUUAACAAAACACAUCCAAUUGUUAUAAGCAGAAAUUAUAAGGUUUCUAUGGAUCAGACCUAAAAAUUCACUUUCUCUCAAGACAUAAUCAUGCAACUCUUAGACCCAGGCAUAGAAAUGUUUUUAGAAAAAUCUGGUAUAUUUUGGAAAGAUAGUUCCAUACUACAGCUGCCAUGAAAAAUAGCUCUUAUAUCACACACACCUAAAUUGAAUAUACACGCAAAUAAGCAUACAUAUGCUGGAAGGGAGGAAAAAGCAAUUAUGUUGUUAUAAAUCUGCUAUGCUGCAAAACAUUGACCAACAUAUCCAAAUGAAAGACAGCAUCGUCUUACCUGAAGUUCCUGGGUAGCAGAUUGAAUGGACAGAAAAACAAAUAAAAGGUCUAUUUAAAAUGGUUAUAUUAAAGAAAAUCAAGCGCAUUUGUCUCAACAGUGCUAACAAUAUAUACUUCCACAGGUGCAACUUUAAGAAGGUACCAAAGAGAGAAAUCAGUAUUCCCCACUUCUUAGUGAUGGUGAUGUAGCUGGGGCAACAAAUCCUAAGUACAAUUUCUGAAAUAGCUUUGUCCUUCAGUGACAACUUUGGUUUCCUCAACACUUCUCUCAGGGUGCCUAAUUAUUGACAAACUUUGUCAAGUGAGGAGUUACUACAAUUAUUCACCAACAACAAUACAAGGGAUCCUGACAGGCUGCUAGAAGUGGAACAUAUGUUCUGGGGUUGAAGCCUCACGCCACCUCUCCAGCUCCACAUCUAGGAAAUCGAAGUCCCUGAAGACGCGGAACUGCUGCUCGCUGUUCGUGUCAUCCAUGUUCUCCUGCUCCCGGGCGCCGUCCUCGGAGGGCACCAGGCUCGUCUGGUGCUCCAGCAGAUCCAGAUCCCCACACGAG